GAAAUGCGAUACGUAAUGUGAAUUGCAGAAUUCAGUGAAUCAUCGAAUCUUUGAACGCACAUUGCACUCUCUGGUAUUCCGGAGAGUAUGCUUGUUUGAGUAUCAGUAAACACCUCAAAUCUCUUUUUUUAUUGAAGGAGACUUGGACUUGAGCAAUCCCAACGAUCAGCAAAUGGUUGGCGGGUUGCUUGAAAUGCAGGUGCAGCUGGACUUUUUCUUCUGAGCUAAAAGCAUAUUUAUUUAGACCCGUCAAACGGUUUAUUACUUUUUUGCUGCAGCUAACAUAAAGGUUGAUUUGUCCUAUAUGCUGACUGAUGCAGGAUUAACAAUUCGAACCUUCGGGUUCCUUUUGUCAACUCGAUCUCAAAUCAAGUAAGACUACCCGCUGAACUUAA
rnacentral:misc_RNA from 1 species